rnacentral:rRNA from 1 species
AUACGUAGGGGGCGAGCGUUGUCCGGAAUGAUUGGGCGUAAAGGGCGCGUAGGCGGCUUGUUAAGUCUGGAGUGGAAGUCCUCUUUUCAAGGGAGGAAUUGCUUUGGAAACUGGCGGGCUUGAGUGCAGGAGAGGUUAUCGGAAUUCCCGGUGUAGCGGUGAAAUGCGUAGAGAUCGGGAGGAACACCAGUGGCGAAGGCGGGUAACUGGACUGCAACGGACGCUGAGGCGCGAAAGUGUGGGGAGCAAACAGGAUUAGAUACCCUGGUAGUCCACACUGUAAACGAUGAGUGCUAGGUGUAGGAGGUAUCGACCCCUUCUGUGCCGGAGUAAACGCAAUAAGCACUCCGCCUGGGGAGUACGGUCGCAAGAUUAAAACUCAAAUGAAUUGACGGGG